UGUAACUCAGUGGUAGAGUAUUUGUCUGGCAUAUAUGAGACUCUGGGUUCAAUUCCCAGCA
rnacentral:tRNA from 1 species